AUUGAACGCUGGCGGCAAGCCUAACACAUGCAAGUCGAACGAGUGGCGGACGGGUGAGUAAUGUCUGGGCAACUGCCUGAUGGAGGGGGAUAACUACUGGAAACGGUAGCUAAUAACGCAUACCAUCGGAUGUGCCCAGAUGGGAUUAGCUAGUAGGUGGGGUAAAGGCUCACCUAGGCGACGAUCCCUAGCUGGUCUGAGAGGAUGACCAGCCAACCUGGAACUGGGACACGUUCCAGCCUCCUACGGGAGGCAGCAGUGGGGAAUAUUGCACAAUGGGCGAAAGCCGGAUGCAGCCAUGCCGCGUGUAUGAAGAGGGCCUUCGGGUUGUAAAGUACUUUCAUCGGGGAGGCGUUACCCGCAGAAGAAGCACCGGCUAACUCCGUGCCAGCAGCCGCGGUAAUUC
rnacentral:rRNA from 1 species